rnacentral:rRNA from 1 species
UACGGAGGGUGCAAGCGUUAUCCGGAUUUACUGGGUUUAAAGGGUGCGUAGGCGGAUCUUUAAGUCAGUGGUGAAAUCUCUCGGCUCAACCGAGAAACUGCCAUUGAUACUAUUGAUCUUGAAUACAGUUGAGGUGGGCGGAAUGUGUCGUGUAGCGGUGAAAUGCUUAGAUAUGACACAGAACACCGAUUGCGAAGGCAGCUCGCUAAACGUGAUUGACGCUGAGGCACGAAAGCGUGGGGAUCAAACAGG